rnacentral:lncRNA from 1 species
UUUUUUUUUUUUUUUUUUUUUUUUGUCUUUUUGCCUUUUCUAGGGCUGCUCCCAUGGCAUAUGGAGGUUCCCAGGCUAGGGGUCUAAUCGGAGCUGUAGCCACUGGCCUAUGCCAGAGCCACAGCAACACGGGAUCCAAGCCUAAUCUGCAACCUACACCACAGCUCACAGCAAUGCCAGAUCCUUAACCCACUGAGCAAGGCCAGGGAUCGAACCCACAACCUCAUGGUUCUGGUCGGAUUCGUUAACCACUGUGCCACGACGGGAACUUCCGAGGUUCAGGUUCUUUAUGCCUCCACGAAAAAGGAAUUCAGCGAGAGACAAAGUGAUAGACAAGAAUUAGAUUUAUUAGGAUAGGAUGCCUGUGAAAAAUGCAAAUGGGCAGGCAAGGAGGCUCUGCCCUGAGGAUCUGGUGGGCUACAGUUUUAUCCAAGAGGAGUGGGGGUCGGAAAAGACCUCCUCCUUUCUGGGAGUAGUAGCUUCUCCUUAGUAUCCGGGGAAGGCAUGUAUUCAAAUCAGCAGAAGGACUGAACUCAACUCCUGCCCUUGGUCUGAAUCUGAAUGCAGGCCUCAUCCCAUCCCCCACCCAACCACCUGAGGCAAUUCUCGCAUCCCCACUGGUCAGGCAAACCUGCCUUGUUCUGAUGGCUUUUUUGAGCAAUUUAUUAAUUUACAGUGACUUCCCAACAUCCCCUAGAUUUCCCUCUCUAUCUAGGAUCCUUUAUUAGGACUUCUACCACCACCUGUGCCUACUCCAUCCCUAUCAAGACCAGGGAUCGAAGUGCAUCCUCAUGGAUACUAGCAGGGUUCUUAACCCAAUGAGCCACAAUGGGAACUUCCAUCAGCCUAUUUUUAACUUCAGUGAGCAGAAUAAGCCCAGGAAGAGUUUCAGUUAAGCUUUGUAUCCUCCUGAUAGAGAAAUACAUGUUUUUUGGGUUGUUGUUUGUUUGUUUUUUCCUAUUUAGAUGUAUCAUUUACAAGCAGCAAUUGACAGUUUUGCAGAACUAAUGUUAGAUCUUGUGGUUCUUUAAGAUCUUACUUAGGGUGCUAUGAGUGUGUCUAUAAUCACCCUUCUCUGCCAAGUUCAAUUCCAUAGAGCUUUUUAUCCUUGAAUGUGUUCAAUAAAUGUUAAGACUGGCUAAGUAACUGGAAGAAAGCUAUUAAUCACUUGCGAAGCUAGGUGGUAGUGAUUGAGUAAAGAGAAAUCUGAACAUUUUUCACAGGUCAAAAUGUGCAAGGUUAGUGUGAUUGUGUUUUUGAUUUUAAAUGCCUGUCAAAUGAAGUAUGAAUUUUAACCUACUUAAUUUUGCUGAUUGUUAGAGAAAGGAAUAAUGGAGAGUUGAUUCAGUCAGAACUGGAAGCCAUUUGUGCACUUGAGCAUAAUUAAUUCGUACAUACAUUCUGGUGAGUAUAUGGCUAUUACUACUUUUAAACUAAAGGCAGAACAUACCAGUGGAAAAUUAGUUUGGAGCAAGAACUUCAUACUUUUUAUUCUGCUUAUCAUGCCAGGAUGCCUGUUUAUUAAAAAUCAUAACUCCUACACAAAAAUUGUAAUAGUAGUCCUGAUUUAAAAUGUCAUUAAAAUGAACAUGGCUGGAAGUAAGUAGAUUUGAGAAGAACCAGACUUUAGUUCUUUGUGUCACUACUCACUCUUACCUCUCCAAAAAGACCAUCAUCUAUGUUCCAUUUCUGCCUUUUUCUCAUCUGAAAUUUCCAGAGCUGUUGUAGGAGAAAAUGUCCCGAUAAAAAGGCAGAAAGGAGAGACCCCAGCGGCCACAAUGACUAAGCAACGUCCAGCAACGGCCCCAACCACCCCUCCCCACACGUCUGCUUCUGUAAACUUGUUUCCGCAUCUAUUACUUUGCCAGAUCUCACUCUGGUCCGCCAAGCACGGACCCGGAAGAACGAGCCCAUAAAAGCCUUGCGAAGCCCCUCUUCCGGGCUCAGACGCCAGCGUAAUACACCUGAGUUCUCCACCUGGCCGAGCGCUCGCUUGGGUAGAAGAGCUGAUCCGCUGCAGCCACAGAGCUGCUGGAGCUGGCAACUACCGCCACAGGGCUGUCGCCAGAGCUGAUACGCUGCGUCGCAGGGCUGCUGGGCAGCUGCCGUAACAUUUCUGGAGGCCUCAGUGAGAUUUCAAUUGUUCUGGCCCCUUGAGCCACCCAAAUGGAGGCAAGGCCGCCCAGUAGCCGGGGAGCCUCGAACCCAACGAGGCAGCGCACCACCCAACGGUAUCCCAGGUCCUCCUUCAUGAGCGGCACUCCUGACUCCCAGGUGACCGAACCCCGACUGGACUCAGUGGAGAGACGGACCAACUCACCAGGAAGGCGUCUGGACAAGGUAAGGCCCCAGGCCAACCCCAGUCAGGUCCUGCCCCAGCGGGCAGAAGAGGGGGCUGCUCACCCCCUGAGGGUGCCUCCUGAUCAGAAGCAGAGGAGCCUCUUGCUCGGGUGGAGCAACGGGCAGGUGUAGGUGAUUGAAAGUUGGGCUUGAUGGAGCUGCUAGUUAGGGACUCCCAGGGAGUGGGAGGCAAUGUGAUAACCUCUGAGUGUGUGUGAGGGUGAAUGAGCGGCCUGAUUCGCUUGCGCUUCAGGUUCGAGUUUGUGGCUCCACGGUCUUCGUGGCUACGGAGUCCGAGUGGGUCCCAACCUGCAGUUCCGUGGUGACCUCAUAUGGCUUAUGGCUGUAGCGGACUCUGAGGGUUCUCUUCCCUCCCUGCGAGUCCAAUCCAAGUUCGGGGCUUAUACGAACCAGCCCAUUGCUAAGAGGCACCUAAACUCCCGAGAGGGGGGCGGUCAGGCGGACAUCUGAAUGGCCACCUUCUGAGAAGGGGGCACCCUCCCUUGUUUUGUCUGCGACACCGGCACAGGGCGGCCACACGGGGUGGGACCUAACCCAGAAGCUCAUGAGCCAGAGACCCCUGUGCUCCCACCAUUUGGGCCAUAAAUUCCUCUGAGGAGAUAAUCUAACUUGACCUUGCCCCCAGGCCUCCAGGAACUCCCAUCCCAGAUUCUAAACCAGACAUGGGACUGCCCAUUUUGUUAGUUCAUGGAGGCCCAGGAUCUGAGUCAGGGAGGCAAGCCUGUCAUCAGGGUAUAGGGAGGAUUGGGUACGAGGUCCCCUGUCCUUUGCCCAAAACAUCAGAAUGUGUCUGAGAGUGUCUCCCCGAGAACCGGGGCCUAGAUGGAUCAGAAACACUUGCAACAAAGCAGGUGCUCUCCCCGGUCAUAGAGCGAGCUGAGUGGGAGCUGUCUUGCUUUCAGGAGUGGCGGAGGCAAAGCUACUGGGGAUACUGCCCAUGAGGUCAGAGAAGGUCUCAUAAUAUCAGGCCAUAGAUGAGAUCCACAGAAAGACACUGUGGGUUCGCCCAAGUCCAAACCCAUGGUCCUAGACUGUGUGAUCAAAGAUUUCAAAAAGGGAUUUUCUGAAGAUUAUGGUGUAAAACUAACCUGACCUUUCAUCAUUUCCUUUGCUAUUACCUCGAAUGGAGCUGUGGGGGCAAAGGAAACAGACCUCUAGAUGUUAAGACCACCCCGAGUUGUUACCAUGCCUGUGGGGGAAAAGGAGUUCAUAACUAGUAUCCAUCCAACUCGGGCCAAGUGUUAGCCUCAGAGCCUGGGCAUAGUCAGUUCUGCUUUUUGCAAUUUACAUUUACCCUGGUUGGAGGAAUCGAUGGCUGGUUCAUCCAAUUUACCUGUUAACUGUGGCUUAGAAACUAGAGGGCAUGUCAAAGCAAGCAUCCUAGGAUUUGAAAACUAAGGGCAGGGGCUGUAUGCCUGGGUUUUCUUCAUCUCUGUCCAGAGACAGGCAAUGGGCAGGGAUGACGGGACGGGAGGCUAUGCUGGAAAAGAGUGGUUAAUUCUAGUCAGCCUGAGGACGGAUGGGACAUUUGACCACUGGUGUCUAGCGGCUCCAUCUAAGAGAGGGGAUGCCCUCACAUAACCAAGAAGGGACAAUAGGUGCUGGAUGCUGGUCUUUUCUUUUUUGGAUGGGAGCCACCUCCUCGAGCCUGGUGCAUGGCUCAAUAGCAACUCCUCUGACAUGUGCCUUGAAGAACUGGAAAAAGUUUGACCCGGAGACUCUGAAAAAGAAAAAUUUAAUUUUCUUUUGCACAAAAUCCUGGCCACUACGUAAUCUGUCAGAUGGAGAGUGAUGGCCAUCUGAAGGCUCUCCAGCUUACAAUACUAUUCUCCAAUGAGGCCUAUUUGGUAGACGAGAAGGGGAAUGGUCAGAGGUGCCUUGUGUCAGAUCCUCUUUACGAUGAGGGAAGACACUACACCGAGGAAGGCUUGUGGACUUUCUCAGUACAUUAUGCCAACUCCCUCAGGACCUAGGUGCCCACCAUAUCCUGGCCCAACUGGGUCAGACCCUCCAGAAGUUAAUCAGCCUUCUCCAAUACCACCCAAGGCUCCUCCUCUUCCCCCUCCAGUGCCAAAGUUAUAUCCCUCUCGACUUCCUGUACAAGAAGUGGCAAACAGAGAAUGGGGACCGAUACAGGUUCAUACAUACAUCUAUUUCACUUCAGGACUGAAGGCAAAUAAAACCAGAUUUGGGAAAACUGGCUGAUGACCCAGAUAUAUUGAGGUCUUUCAGGGUCUCAUGCAGUCCUUUGAGUUAGCCUGGAAGGAUGUCAUGUUAUUACAAAAACAGACAUUGACUAU